UACGGGGGGGGCAAGCGUUGUUCGGAAUUACUGGGCGUAAAGGGCUCGUAGGUGGCCAACUAAGUCAGACGUGAAAUCCCUCAGCUUAACUGGGGAACUGCGUCUGAUACUGGAUGGCUUGAGUUUGGGAGAGGGAUGCGGAAUUCCAGGUGUAGCGGUGAAAUGCGUAGAUAUCUGGAGGAACACCGGUGGCGAAGGCGGCGUCCUGGACCAACACUGACACUGAGGAGCGAAAGCCAGGGGAGCAAACGGG
rnacentral:rRNA from 1 species